AUACGUAGGGUGCGAGCGUUAAUCGGAAUUACUGGGCGUGAAGCGUGCGCAGGUGGUUUUGUAAGUCAGAUGUGAAAUCCCCGGGCUUAACCUGGGAACUGCGUUUGAAACUGCAAGGCUAGAGUGUGGCAGAGGGGGGUGGAAUUCCGCGUGUAGCAGUGAAAUGCGUAGAUAUGUGGAGGAACACCGAUGGCGAAGGCAGCCCCCUGGGCCAACACUGACGCUCAGGCACGAAAGCAUGGGGAGCAAACAGGAUUAGAAACCCCAGUAGUCC
rnacentral:rRNA from 1 species